rnacentral:rRNA from 1 species
UACGUAGGGGGCUAGCGUUGUCCGGAUUUAUUGGGCGUAAAGAGCGUGUAGGCGGCCAGGUAGGUCUGCUGUGAAAACUGGAGGCUCAACCUUCAGAGGUCGACCGAAACCAUCUGGCUAGAGUCCGGGAGAGGAGAGUGGAAUUCCUGGUGUAGCGGUGAAAUGCGCAGAUAUCAGGAAGAACACCCGUGGCGAAGGCGGUUCUCUGGGCAUUACCUGACGCUGAGGAGCGAAAGUGUGGGGAGCGAACCGG